GAUCAUGGCUCAGGAUGAACGCUAGCUACAGGCUUAACACAUGCAAGUCGAGGGGCAGCAUGGUCUUAGCUCGCUAAGGCUGAUGGCGACCGGCGCACGGGUGAGUAACGCGUAUCCAACCUGCCUUACACUCUUGGACAGCCUUCUGAAAGGGAGAUUAAUACAAGAUGUUAUCAUGAGUAAGCAUUUUCGCAUGAUUAAAGGUUUACCGGUGUAAGAUGGGGAUGCG
rnacentral:rRNA from 1 species